AUUUUAUAAUUAUUAGACUUAUGUAAUGUGACUUUAUUUAAUGGGUUUGGUAUUCAGGAUCAUUUAUUGGUGAAAAAGGAAGGGUUUUUUAUUGGAAAAAGGGUUAGGGUUCAAACCAUAUGUCCCGAUUCUAAUGCAUUGUUGGUAAAAAAUUAAAGGGGGGUUCCAACCCACAUGGCCACAAUCCCCGCUAUAUAAUCAAAUAAUCAAAUUAUUAUACAGAC
rnacentral:lncRNA from 1 species